UACGUAGGGUGCAAGCGUUGACCGGAUUCAUUGGGCGUAAAGCGCGCGCAGGCGGCUCCGCACGUCCCGCGUGAAAUCGCCCGGCUCAACCGGGCGGGGUCGCGGGCGACGGCGGGGCUCGAGCGAGGGAGGGGGCAGUGGAAUUCCCGGUGUAGUGGUGGAAUGCGUAGAUAUCGGGAGGAACACCAGUGGCGAAGGCGGCUGCCUGGACCUCUGCUGACGCUGAGGCGCGAAAGCGUGGGGAGCGAUCCGG
rnacentral:rRNA from 1 species